rnacentral:rRNA from 1 species
UAGGGAAUCUUCGGCAAUGGACGAAAGUCUGACCGAGCAACGCCGCGUGAGUGAAGAAGGUUUUCGGAUCGUAAAACUCUGUUGUUAGAGAAGAACAAGGACGUUAGUAACUGAACGUCCCCUGACGGUAUCUAACCAGAAAGCCACCGCUAACUACGUGCCAGCAGCCGCGGUAAUACGUAGGUGGCAAGCGUUGUCCGGAUUUAUUGGGCGUAAAGCUAGCGCAGGCGGUUUCUUAAGUCUGAUGUGAAAGCCCCCGGCUCAACCGGGGAGGGUCAUUGGAAACUGGGAGACUGGAGUGCAGAAGAGGAGAGUGGAAUUCCAUGUGUAGCGGUGAAAUGCGUAGAUAUAUGGAGGAACACCAGUGGCGAAGGCGGCUCUCUGGUCUGUAACUGACACUGAGGCACGAAAGCGAGGGGAGCAAACAGG